GGAGGGGUGGCAGAGCGGUCGAAUGCGGCGGUCUCGAAAGCCGUUAUCCGUCUUCGGCGGAUCGAGGGUUCGAAUCCCUCCCCCUCCG
rnacentral:tRNA from 1 species